rnacentral:misc_RNA from 1 species
AGCAGCCGCGGUAAUUCCAGCUCCAAUAGCGUAUAUUAAAGUUGUUGCAGUUAAAAGCUCGUAGUUGAAUUUCGGGAUUGACGUGAUGGUCAUGCCUUAAGGGGUAUGAACUGUUACUGUUGAUUUCUCACCUUCUGGAGAAACUUGAUGUCCUUUAUUGGGUGUCUUGCGGAUCCAGGACCUUUACCUUGAAAAAUUGAGUGUUUAAAGCAGGCAUUUUGCUCGAAUACAUUAGCAUGGAAUAAUAAAAUAGGACGGCAUGGUUCUAUUUUGUUGGUUUCUAGGAUCACCGUAAUGAUUAAUAGGGAUAGUUGGGGGCAUUAGUAUUCAAUUGUCAGAGGUGAAAUUCUUGGAUUUAUUGAAGACUAACUACUGCGAAAGCAUUUGCCAAGGAUGUUUUCAUUAAUCAAGAACGAAAGUUAGGGAUACGAAGACGAUCAGAUACCGCCGUAGUCUUAACCAUAAACUAUAGACCGACUAGGAAUCAGACGAUAGUUUAAUUUUUAAUGUACUUCGUUUG